CCGGCUGCCUGCGUCCAGUCGCGUCCCGUGCCUUCCCCCGACGGCGCCUCGUCUCUCGCGCCUYCCGCCCGCCCGCGCCCGCGGGGCGAAGGUGGCGAGGAGCUCUUGAGCGAAGCCCGCAGGCAGAAGUGGCGGGGACAGGCCUGGCCUUGUUCGGCAGUGGCGGAGGGAAGCGGCGCGUCUGCGCUGCGGCCGCCGUGCACAGUGGUGCUGUGUGUCCUGGUUAGGCCCGAGGAAAAAGACACCUUUUCUUCAGCAAUAAGGGCGGCGCGYGCUACUCAGGGCCUAGCUCGUAGGAUUUAUUGCACAACUCUAAGCCUACAGAUGCUGCUCCGUGGAAGAACUCACACAAGGGCGUGCUGCAGUGACACUGGAAACUUCUGGCAAAUAUGGAAAGGAAACAGCAAAACAAUAACAUUCUAAUCCUCUGCAAAUAUAAUCACCUAAGAGGCCACUGGUAUCCAGACUGCUUAAAAAAUUAAGAGUAACAUAGUAUCUUGAUUGUACUUCRUUGCGUAUCUAAGGCUCUGUUCAUCAAGAGCUCUGUGGACAGAACACUGUAAAUGCAAUGAAUUCUACUGAAAUAUACAGGAAUUCCUUACAUUAUCAAAAUUCAGCAUUUGGAUAGAGUCAGGCUUGGUUGGACCUUCAGCACUCAUCAGAUUUAGAAUUCUGACUGAAAAAGCACACCAUCAGUUAGAUGGCACRCCUAACAGAGAUUGCGAAAGUCUCAUCUACAUUAGGACUCCCAACAUUACAGCUUAACUAAUGAUACCACACAUUUUUACAUUUAUUUACCUUUUGUUAUAAUUAGUUUAAACAUACAUUCUAUAGCAAAAAAAWUAUUCUCUUAAAUCCUUUUUCAUUAGUCUGUCCAGGGUUGUUCAUAAUUUUCAACGAACRCUAUUCCCACUUCUCUGCAUUUUACCAAAUUCUUUCAAUGGCAUCUACAGCAAAAAACUCAGUAUCUUGCAUUUGCAUUUUCCAGUUAAGCAUUCACCCUUCCUCUACUUUUGUCUUUGCUAAAGGACCAUAUACAGUCUUCAUGUAUUUGCAUGUUAAUACACUUGGGUAGAAUUGUAAGCCUGUGGCAGGUGGCAUAUUCUUAAAAAGACUGAAUUGUCAUUUGUUAUUCUCUUUUGAUAUUUCAUGUCACAUUUUCACAUCAUGUCAAACAAAUAACUUGUAGGGUGAACUAACAUAGACCUAACCACAGAAUCCUAAGUUAAAUAGGGAUGUUAAACAUUGAGAAACUAACUAAACAUAAWCCCGAAAUAAUGGACAAAAACACGACUAAUUAUAUAUGAAACAUGAUUUUUACAACUGUUGCAGCAAUUUCCCUUCAGAGUUUGUUUCCUUUUUUAAGCAAGUUACAAAACCUGCCAUCUUUUCARAAGAGUUAGUUUUGCUUUCUUGAUACUUG
rnacentral:lncRNA from 1 species